rnacentral:rRNA from 1 species
GAGUUUGAUCAUGGCUCAGAUUGAACGCUGGCGGCAGGCUUAACACAUGCAAGUCGAACGGUAGCAGGAGAAAGCUUGCUUUCUUGCUGACGAGUGGCGGACGGGUGAGUAAUGCUUGGGAAUCUGGCUUAUGGAGGGGGAUAACUACGGGAAACUGUAGCUAAUACCGCGUAGUGUCGAGAGACGAAAGUGCGGGACCGUAAGGCCGCAUGCCAUGAGAUGAGCCCAAGUGGGAUUAGGUAGUUGGUGGGGUAAAGGCCUACCAAGCCUGCGAUCUCUAGCUGGUCUGAGAGGAUGGCCAGCCACACUGGAACUGAGACACGGUCCAGACUCCUACGGGAGGCAGCAGUGGGGAAUAUUGCGCAAUGGGGGGAACCCUGACGCAGCCAUGCCGCGUGAAUGAAGAAGGCCUUCGGGUUGUAAAGUUCUUUCGGUAUUGAGGAAGGGAUGUGUGCUAAUAGUACAUAUCAUUGACGUUAAAUACAGAAGAAGCACCGGCUAACUCCGUGCCAGCAGCCGCGGUAAUACGGAGGGUGCGAGCGUUAAUCGGAAUAACUGGGCGUAAAGGGCACGCAGGCGGUAUUUAAGUGAGGUGUGAAAGCCCCGGGCUUAACCUGGGAAUUGCAUUUCAGACUGGGUAACUAGAGUACUUUAGGGAGGGGUAGAAUUCCACGUGUAGCGGUGAAAUGCGUAGAGAUGUGGAGGAAUACCGAAGGCGAAGGCGGCCCCUUGGGAAUGUACUGACGCUCAAUGUGGAAAGCGUGGGGAGCAAACAGGAUUAGAUACCCUGGUAGUCCACGCUGUAAACGCUGUCGAUUUGGGGAUUGAGCUUUAAGCUUGGUGCCCGUAGCUAACGUGAUAAAAUCGACCGCCUGGGGAGUACGGCCGCAAGGUUAAAACUCAAAAUGAAUUGACGGGGGCCCGCACAAGCGGUGGAGCAUGUGGUUUAAUUCGAUGCAAACGCGAAGAACCUUACCUACUCUUGACAUCCAUGGAAUCCUGUGGAGAUACGGGAGUGCCUUCGGGAACCAUGAGACAGGUGCUGCAUGGCUGUCGUCAGCUCGUGUUGUGAAAAUGUUGGGUUAAAGUCCCGCAAACGAGCGCAACCCUUAUCCUUUGUUGCCAGCGAUUUGGUCGGGAACUCAAAGGAGACUGCCAGUGAUAAACUGGAGGAAGGUGGGGAUGACGUCAGGUCUUCAUGGCCCUUACGAAGUAGGGCUACACACGUGCUACGAAUGGGGUAUACGAAGGGGGCGAAAAUUGGAGAUGGGAGGAAUCUCAGAAAGGUACUUCGAAUCCCGGAUUGGGUUCUGCGAACAGAACUCCAGGAGUUGGGAACGGCUGUGAUCGGCGAUCAGGAUGUCGGCGGUAAAGACUUUCCCCGGCCCUGUUCGCCCCCCCC